rnacentral:rRNA from 1 species
UACGAAGGGGGCUAGCGUUGCUCGGAAUCACUGGGCGUAAAGGGUGCGUAGGCGGGUCUUUAAGUCAGGGGUGAAAUCCUGGAGCUCAACUCCAGAACUGCCUUUGAUACUGAGGAUCUUGAGUUCGGGAGAGGUGAGUGGAACUGCGAGUGUAGAGGUGAAAAUUCGUAGAUAUUCGCAAGAACACCAGUGGCGAAGGCGGCUCACUGGCCCGAUACUGACGCUGAGGCACGAAAGCGUGGGGAGCAACAGGGAUUAAGAAACCCU